rnacentral:rRNA from 1 species
CCCUUAGAUGUUCUGGGCCGCACGCGCGCUACACUGACGAAUGCAACGAGCUUAUAACCUUGGCCGAAAGGUCUGGGUAAUCUCCAAAUUUCGUCGUGAUGGGGAUAGAUUAUUGCAAUUAUUAAUCUUCAACGAGGAAUGCCUAGUAAGCGCAAGUCAUCAGCUUGCGUUGAUUACGUCCCUGCCCUUUGUACACACCGCCCGUCGCUCCUACCGAUUGAACGUUUUAGUGAGGUAUUUGGACUGGACCUUCGGAGGUUCGCGCCUCCGUUGCUGUUCGGGAAGACUCCCAAACUUGAGCGUUUAGAGGAAGUAAAAGUCGUAACA